rnacentral:lncRNA from 1 species
AUGGGUUCGGUACGCGCGCAAAUCGCGCUUCUCUUGAUCGGCCACGGGUUCUUGUGCGUUUUCGUGGACCGCGGCCAGGCCCAGGGCGGACAGAACUACGGCCAGAAUCAAGGUCAACAACAGGGUCAACAGAAUAUGGGAACCACUGCAAACUGCCCUCUGUUCGUGAUCCCCGGGCGGGUCAACAAUCCAGGGGUGGCGUCCGGCGGGAAGAUCAUCAUGUACCAGGAGCCGUGCAAGGGGUUCAGCCCUCACAAGGGAUCGCACAAGAACUCGGGGCGCCGCGAGGGCUGCCGCAAGGCCGCCUACCUCCUGAACAAGGUGGCCCACCGCAACGACUGCCCCAUCAUCGUCCACGGCCAGUGCAUCUACGUCAACGCCACCAACACCGCCAGCUGCUACGCCCUCGUCAGAUGGCCUGACGGAGCUUUCGCCCUCCGCCUCCUACAGGAUUGCGCCGACGGGCGCAUGCCACAAAACAACUUCUACCGCGGCCAAUUUGGACCCGGUGGGGCUUAUCCGCCAUUGGGUCAGUUAGGGCCGCCCAACGGUUACGGCCAAAUGCAGGGCCCUCAAACGGGACAAUCAAGCCCGGCAGGCCAAGGCUGAUUUGGACUUGGAUGGAUAUGGCCGAUUAUUGUUUACUCUAUCACAAUCAGGAACAUCUAUCUUAGACUUAAGGCUUUAAGGUGACUCGAUGGACGCUAUAUUUUGUGUCCGAACGACAUGCGAUAUGUUCCAUUUUUUCAACUAUUCGUCAUGUUUCUCAAAAAUUGAGAUGACAAUUCUGAUGUGAGGAGACUAAAGAAUGCUCGUAACAAUUCUUACAAACAAAUUCAAAGUAAUGAAGACGUGAUUUUUUUCAGAGGAUAAAUAUCGCAUUCGAUACUAAUAUCGAAACUGCACACGAAUGUUACAUUUUUCCUCGAAAAAAAAAACCACUCCUUCAUAACAUUGAAUUUAUCAGCUACGAUUGGUAAAUGGAUUCUUUGUUCUCCUGCCGACAGAAUUGCGAUCUCAGAAUUCGAGAAAAAUGACGAGUAGCUGAAAAAAUGGAACUGAUCGAUGCGAUACAUCGCAUGUCGUUCUGACACAAAAUAUGGCGUCCAUCGAAGCUCUUUUAAUUAUUUGAACUGAGCUUCGGGUAAUCCGAACUCCUUUCUGGGACAGCUAGCGGAUAAAAUGUCCCUAACACAAGGCCAGUUUGGUAGCAUCCGUAAAUCACUAAAGCGCCUUUGAUACACACUGAAAAAAAGUAUACUAUUAAUACGGCGGUGCCGCCGUGGACCAAGUAACCGUUUACUCAAAAAGUAUCGACAAGUGACGAAAUUUUGUUCCAACAGAACAGAGUUCGAUUGAAUCAGGUACACGCGUUAUCUCAAACUAGCACUCCCCGUGUAUUUGGAGUGGGAACACGUUUACUUAAAAAUAGUAACUUCCGAGACGCGAAAAUAUUUACUGAUAUUAAGUAUUUGCCUUCGGUUUAAAAGGAGUACCUGUGAUCUUGAUCUAAGUCAACCGUUUACUUAAAAUCAGAAAACGGUUGCGUGACUGAAGAGCGCAUUAACUGGUUACAGGCUGACGGUUGCUUUAAAAUUAGUAAACGGCCGAGCGUCUGGCCGGAAUAGGUUUUUCCCAGGCGCGUUUACUUAUUUCUAGCCAACUGUUGUUUUAAAUUUAGUAAAUAGUCACUGCAGGUAUCCACACUGCACCCAUACCAUAUAUAUUAUUAUUAAUCAAUAAUUGCAAAAAAUGAAUUAAUUUAUCGAAUUUUUUAUGAAAAAAUUAUUCAAUUGCAUAUCUGCAAGUGUCGAAGACUCGACAUGGCAAGUAUCAACUUGCAAAUUUUGACCUACCUAUCGUGAUUUGGACCUGGGACCUGCAGUUUACGAACCUAACACCCUACCUACUUAGCCAUCGGGGCUUAUGUCUCCGUCGGGCGAAUUUACAGUAUAUAAGUCAUUGACUUAGGCUCUCACCAUUAUUGUGAUAGUGAAUAUGCGUGAGACCUGAUGGGGUUUAAAAUUUUUUGAACCCGAGAAGAUGAAUUUGGAGCAAAAAAGGAAUACGCGUGUUACUGUCGUCACUUUUUUUAUGUUUAUAUUUUUUUUCUUUCCCAUCGUAUAUUAAUUUUUAAUCUUUUUAAAAAGAAUUUAAUACAGUUUACCUGUUUUAAAAUUUUCUCUCUUCAUUUUUUCUUGAAGGAUCGCCGACUUUAAAAAAAUAAGAGUAAAGAAUGAAACUCUUCGAAAAUGUUUGUAACAUAAUAACUUUUUAUUUUUGAUGACUGAAAUUGUUACAUUUUUUAAGUAUAAAUAGUCCUAUUCAAUUCGACUAUAAUAUUCAAGACUAUUCUGGACCAUUUAUUAGACUUUUCUAUUUCAAUUAGAACAUGAAUAGUUCUAUUCAAUAGUUCUAAUUAAUUCACAUCGGGCGGAAAAGGAAGAAUGUGAGCACUAUAAAAGAAACAUUAAUACUUCUAAUUCCUUACUUUAAAAAAUAAGAUUUGAAAAAUAAGCUUUGAGAUUUUCUGGAUUAAGGCAUCUUUUUCCGUAUACAGUCACAACCUAUUCAUAAAAAAAGUUCAAUCUUCUAUUACUUUUAUAUUUUACUCAGUUUACAUAAUCGCACGCGUGACGUUUUAAAAUUUUAUUGUACAGGGUGUCCGGAAGUUAACGUAUUUAAUUCUCAGGGACGAUUUUUCGGCUCAAAAUAUGACUUUUUUUUCCUAUACACAUAUGCCCGAAAACGCUUCAUAAGUGAGCUAUGCGCAUCCAAAGUUGCCAUUUUUUUUCUUUCAAAUUUAUGUAACUCCUCGUUAUUUUGUCGUAAGUAGCUGAAACUUGGUGUAGGAGGGUAUUUUUUAGCGCACUGUUCAUUUUUUGUGUUCUCAAGAACGUACAUCUUCGGGAAAUGAGGUAACGAGCAUUCCCGAAUUUUAAAAUUGCCAUAACUUUUUUGGUAGAUGAUAUUUGGAAAAACGGAUAGCACCACGUGAAAGAGCGCGAAAAAUCAGGGCCUCAAAGUGCUGCACAAAAUUUUCCAGAAACGCGUCAUUUCGACGCAACAGAGCUUCGAAAAAGUUUCAAAUUUUCGAAGCUCCUUGCUGAAUAGGCAAUUUUAACUGUAAGGACUUAAGGAAAUUGCCUACUGAGCAAGGGGCUUCGGAAAUCCCGAACUUGUCGUGACUGAUUUAUCCUCCAAAGUUUUGUAGCCCCUUCCUUUGUAGGCAAUUUCCUUCAGUCCCUGCAGUUAAAAUUGCCUUCUCAGCAAGGAGCUUCGAAAAUUUGAAACUUUUUCGAAGCUUUGUUGCGUCGAAAUGACGCGUUUCUGGAAAAUUUUGUGCAGCACCAUGAGGCCUUAAUUUUCGAGCUCUUUCACGUGGUGCAAUCCGUUUUUCCAAAUAUCAUCUACCAAAAAGUUAUGGCAAUUUUAAAAUUCGGGAAUGCUCGUUACCUCAUUUCCCGAAGAUGUACGUCCUUGAAAACACGAAAAAUGAUCAGUGCGCUAAAAAAUACCCUCCUACACCAAGUUUCAGCUACUUACGACAAAAUAACGAGGAGUUACAUUAAUUUGAAAGAAAAAAAUGUCAACUUUGGAUGCGCAUAGCUCACUUAUGAAGCGUUUCCGGGCAUAUGUGUAUGGGAAAAAAAGUCAUAUUUUGAGCCGAAAAAUCGUCCCUGAAAGUUAAAUACGUUAACUUCCGGACACCCUGUAUAGCUGCACUUCCUUUUCUUUACACUCUCUAAAGUUGAUAGGAAGGUGGUAAAGAAGUGCUGGAUCCACCCUAUUUUGCAGGGAAACAAGGUGAAAAGGUUCAAAUACUUCAUUUACAGUAAAAAAUGUUGAGAUCUUAUGAGUAUCCGUACAAUACUA